rnacentral:lncRNA from 1 species
UCCUUUCGCAUGUUGAUCCAGAGGAUUUAUUUGAGAAACUCUUUUUGUUGAUGAAGUCGCAAGUGAGUAAUAUCCAAAUCACUAGUGAGAUGAUGUGAGGGAAGCUCUGAUGAUGAUGUACCAUGCUGAUGGUGAUGACUGGUGCAUUUUCCUCUUUAAGAUGGUUGAUAAAUUCCCCAGUGUUGAGUUGUCGCUGUUUUUGAGAUUACCCCAAUUUUGUUGUAAGGGAUACAAUAUCGGUUUGUCGCCAAUUUUGAAAUUUCCCCAGAUUUGCUUGUUUUCUGGGAUAGUUGCUUUGAUAGAUGGGCUGAUAAGACACUGAGAUCGCGAUAGGCUUUUACCUCUGUACCAUAUGGUGAACAGGUAGUGGAUGUGGGCUUUGAUGUUGACAACUCUUUCUGGUAGAGAUUCUAAUUUUAGUUGAGAGAUGAUGCCCUAACUCAUAGGGAUACCGUUGUUGCUGAGCGGGAUGAGGCCAUAUCAUCUAGAGAUGCAGUGAUUAUUGAGCGGGAUAAUGCUAUAUCUGCCCGAGAUAUCGAUUGAUGAGCUUAGUGUCACCAUGUAGUUGGUUGUGGAUUUGUUAGCUCGUGUAGAGACCAUUGGGCAGGAGAUCACAGUGUUACCCCCUUCUUCUGAGAGGGAAGCCCUAUUGGACUUGAUAGCCCGCAUAUACACUGACUUGUAGAUGGGCUUGUAUUUCCCUGCACAUACUAGCUUAGCCAUUUUGUCAUGUACAGUACACAUUGUAUAUAUCAAACAACAUUAUAUAUAGAAGGGAAAUAUAUGUUGAUUCAAUUAUCUUUUAGUUGUGCCUUGUUACUUGCUUGAUAUUUGCUUGUUUCUCCAGGGCUUGUGAUCUUGAUGUAUUCUGAACUUCUCCUUGAUGGAUGGACAUUGAGAUGUCUCAAGAUCUUUCAGAAUGGAUUGUUGAUCUAUGUGUAUUCCCUACCAUCUUUGGUGUCUUAGGACUGGUUUUUGUAUGUGGUUAUGGAUAGGAGUGUGUUUGUUUUGUUUUUCUAUGGUGAGACUGGACCAUACAAAUGGCUGCCUAUGUACUCCCGUGUAUUGGGGAGAUCAGGUUUGCGUAGUUCGCCCCUUGUUCAGGAUGGUUUGUAGCCAAUGAAAAGUUUGAUCCCAUGUUCAGGACAAAUUGCGGGGGAGAAAGUUUAAUCCCAUGUAUAGGACAAACUGCAGGUGUGAAAAAUCUUAUCCCUAGUGGGGUAAAAUUGCGGGUGUGAAAGGUUCAAUCCCUGGUGGGAUAACCAGAGUUGAGUAAGGGUUCAAAACCAAGUUGAGAGAAGGAUCUGGCGAC